GACGAACGCUGGCGGCGUGCUUAACACAUGCAAGUCGAACGGACAGGCCCUGCUCUUGUGGGGUUCUCGUGAGCCGAACGGGGGAGUAACACGUGAGUAUCAUCUCCUUGACUUUGUGAUAACUUCAGGAAACUGGGGCUCAUAUCGCAUAUGAGCUCCUGCUCCAUGUUGGGCGUUGGAAAGUUUCGGCGGUUGGGGCUGGACUCGAGGCUUAUCCGCUGGAUUGUGGGGUAGUGGCUUACGAAGGCUUUGACUGAUAGCCGGCCUGGGAGGGUGACCGGCCACAUUGGGACUGAGAGAGGGCCCAGAAUGCAACGGGAGGCAGUAGGGGAGAAUAUGGCAGAAUGGGCGGAAGCCAGAUACAGCGACGCCGCGUGCGGGAUGACCGCCUACGGGUUAUAAACAGAUGUGGCCUGUAACGAAGCGUUAGUGACGGUAAUUGGUAAAGAAGCACCGGCUAACUACGUG
rnacentral:rRNA from 1 species